rfam:Trichobilharzia regenti genome assembly, scaffold: TRE_scaffold0124036
GAGUCCCAAAUAGGACGAAAUGCGCAUCCUGGAU